rnacentral:lncRNA from 1 species
AUGAAUGCCAACAUGCCAUGUUCUGUUCUAGUUGCCCAGGAAAACACAGCAGUAGACGAAACAAUAUUCUUGUUCUUAUGGAACUUAUAUUCUAGUGAUGGUGAGAACACAGAGAUCGUCACUAAAUGA